UACAGAGGGUGCAAGCGUUGCUCGGAAUCAUUGGGCGUAAAGGGUAGGUAGGUGGUCUCAUUUGUCUGGGGUGAAAGCCCAGGGCUUAACCCUGGAAGUGCCCCGGAAACGGUGAGACUGGAGUCCUGGAGAGGGUCGUGGAAUUCCCGGUGUAGCGGUGAAAUGCGUAGAGAUCGGGAGGAACACCAGAGGCGAAGGCGGCGACCUGGACAGGUACUGACACUCAACUACGAAAGCGUGGGGAGCAAACAGG
rnacentral:rRNA from 1 species